CAGCUUGCUGGGGGGAUUAGUGGCGAACGGGKGAGUAMCACGKGAGUAMCCUGCCCUUAAYUYUGGGAUAASCCUGGGAAACUGGGUYUAAUMCCGGAUAUGAYUCYUCAUCSCAUGGUGGGGGGUGGAAAGCUUUUUGUGGUUUUGGAUGGACUCGCGGCCUAUCAGCUUGUUGGUGAGGUAAUGGCUCACCAAGGCGACGACGGGUAGCCGGCCUGAGAGGGUGACCGGCCACACUGGGACUGAGACACGGCCCAGACUCCUACGGGAGGCAGCAGUGGGGAAUAUUGCACAAUGGGCGCAAGCCUGAUGCAGCGACGCCGCGUGAGGGAUGACGGCCUUCGGGUUGUAAACCUCU
rnacentral:rRNA from 1 species